AGACGUGGGUGGCAAACGUUACCCGGAUUUACUGGGCGUAAAGUGCGCGUAGGCGGCUCGGUAAGUUGGGCGUGAAAGCUCCCGGCUCAACCGGGAGAGGACGCUCAAGACUGCCGGGCUAGAGGGCGGUAGAGGGAGGCGGAAUUCCCGGUGUAGCGGUGAAAUGCGUAGAUAUCGGGAGGAACGCCAGUGGGGAAGCCGGCCUCCUGGGCCGACCCUGACGCUGAGGCGCGAAAGCCAGGGGAGCGAACCGGAUUAGAAACCCUAGUAGUCC
rnacentral:rRNA from 1 species